GCCACCCCCNGAAACACACAGCGGGGGGGGGGGGAGGCUAAUUCAUCCUAGGCCCCGGCUGGGCCCCGGAGGGGAGAGAGGCCCCACAGUCACAAGGCGGUUCAUCUUGCCCAGGACAGGAGAGCGGCUGGCACCCGGGGUAGGGGCUUGAGGAAAUAUCACAAAACCCCACCGCCCAGAGGGUGGCCCAACAAAAGCCUUUUUCGAAAGGCCCCUUUGUAGCGGACCCCUUCUCGGGGUUCAGACGCCUGAAACCGGACAAAUUGAAAGCCAGAGUGGCCAUUUGGAGAAAAUGACUUCUUACUUUGGGACAGCAGAAAAUGUCUGGAAAGAAAUAUCAGACGAAGAUCUUACAAAGAAUGAAAACACUAAUUUCUCAAGAAUUCUAUUUAACUCCGAAAGUGGCUCAGGCAUGCAGGAUGAUCAAAAACAUCCCAGACUCCUCUCUUCAUAAACAAGUACGGAUGAUUCCACUGAGGCUGCAUGACGGAUGUCCUCCCCUGACCNCCCCCAGCAAGCCCCGAUGACUCGCAGUGCAGCUCAGCAAGAGAUGACAACCAGUCCUUGUUCCAGACGGUGAAGCGGAGGCGGGCAAGUCACCUGCAGUCCCAACCUUUUCACUUAUGUUGGUUUCCUACGUUGCUCUAAUAAAUCACACAAACUUCAU
rnacentral:lncRNA from 1 species